UACAUGGGGUGCAAACGUUGCUCGGAAUUAUUGGGCGUAAAGCGCACGUAGGUGGUCUGUUAUGUCAGAUGCGAAAGCCCUCGGCUUAACUGAGGAAGUGCACCUGAAACUGGCAGGCUUGAGUACGAAAGAGGGUCGCGGAAUUCCCGGUGUAGAGGUGAAAUUCGUAGAUAUCGGGAGGAACACCAGUGGCGAAGGCGGCUUUCUGGGCCUUACCUGACGCUGAGACGCGAAAGCGUGGGGAGCGAUCCGG
rnacentral:rRNA from 1 species